rnacentral:lncRNA from 1 species
ACAUGGCUCAGACUCCGCAGAGAGCAGAUUGCUGAUAAUGGCCAUCCCGUCUCCUGGCCCUCUCCCAGAAGAACCAUAUUUAAGCUCUCAGUUGAUGUGAAUGCCCGGAAAACAUUACUCUCCAGGGUAAGCUCAGGGGUGGUGUUGAGGGGCUUUGGAAUCCCCGAUAGAGCCAGAGCCCUGGGCCUACAUUAGAGAAGAGGCUAAUUUAGCUGUUUUCUGGGAGGCCAUAGGUCUAACCAGAUUGUAAGAAUGAAUAAAUGAAUUAACAGAGGAAUCCUUCCCCUAAACUUGAAAAAAGAAUUUGAAACCCUACUGUAGAUUUAACCAUUAAUUCUCCCCUCUCAUCGGUCUUCCCCAGUCUCUCCUCCAAAGAUUCACCCCCUUGCUUUUGAGCACUGACUUGUUGAAUGCUCUUCACUGAAGAUCAUUUGACCAGACUAACCUUCAGUGGCAGACAGUAAAAAAGGCCAUCAGUGACCAACUCCAGGUAUGGAGGCUGGACGGCUCUCUAAUGAACUCCGGCUAAUGCAGAAGAGAAAACACUUUAAAAACCAAAACAGGUGAAGGUCAAGGAAUGAUGAUAGAGUAGAAAAUGCCUUCAUUCCUUUCAUUCAAGAAAAUGGCAUGCAGGUGGUUGUCACUGGGUGGAUCCAGUGGGCAUAUGUGCCAGAAAUGGCAUUGAUGGGAUGGAACUGGAGGCUGGGGACAUGUUGGUGAAGUGGUGAGGUAGUGACAGGGAGGAGGGUUUGCAGAGUUCCUGCUGAUUCUUAUGAAAGCUCCAACAAGGGUGAAGAAAAUGGAUCAUAAUCAUAGAAAACGGCUACUCCAACUCCACGUGGUUAAGUAAUGGACAGGGGAGUGUCUGGGAGUGAGGGCAACGCUACCUCGUAUCUACCUGGACAGGCAUGGAUGACAUUUACUUGUCAGAAUCUUCAGGUGCUAAAGAGUAUACGUUCUAUGAAAACAAGUGUGCUUAGAAAUGCGAAUGCAAUUAAAUUACAGGAUUCAAUUAACAAAUACUAUGUGGGAUGGUGAAAGAUAUUGUAGGAUUGCAGAGCUGUGGUUUGAGGUGCGAUACCCCACAGAGAGUGUGCAGCCAC